ACGGCGACCGGCGCACGGGUGAGUAACACGUAUGCGACCUGCCCGUGGCAGGGGGAUAAGCGGAAGAAAUUCCGUCUAAUACCGCGUAAUAUCUUUCGGGGGCAUUCCUGAGGGAUUAAAGGAAGCGAUUCCGGCUACGGAUGGGCAUGCGGCGCAUUAGCUAGUCGGCGGGGUAACGGCCCACCGAGGCGACGAUGCGUAGGGGUUCUGAGAGGAAGGUCCCCCACACUGGUACUGAGACACGGACCAGACUCCUACGGGAGGCAGCAG
rnacentral:rRNA from 1 species